rnacentral:rRNA from 1 species
AUUGAACGCUGGCGGCAGGCCUAACACAUGCAAGUCGAACGGUAACAGGAAGCAGCUUGCUGCUUUGCUGACGAGUGGCGGACGGGUGAGUAAUGUCUGGGAAACUGCCUGAUGGAGGGGGAUAACUACUGGAAACGGUAGCUAAUACCGCAUAACGUCGCAAGACCAAAGAGGGGGACCUUCGGGCCUCUUGCCAUCGGAUGUGCCCAGAUGGGAUUAGCUAGUAGGUGGGGUAACGGCUCACCUAGGCGACGAUCCCUAGCUGAUCUGAGAGGAUGACCAGCCACACUGGAACUGAGACACGGUCCAGACUCCUACGGGAGGCAGCAGUGGGGAAUAUUGCACAAUGGGCGCAAGCCUGAUGCAGCCAUGCCGCGUGUAUGAAGAAGGCCUUCGGGUUGUAAAGUACUUUCAGCGGGGAGGAAGGGAGUAAAGUUAAUACCUUUGCUCAUUGACGUUACCCGCAGAAGAAGCACCGGCUAACUCCGUG